rnacentral:rRNA from 1 species
GUGGGGAAUAUUGGACAAUGGGCGAAAGCCUGAUCCAGCAAUGCCGCGUGAGUGAUGAAGGCCUUAGGGUUGUAAAGCUCUUUUACCCGGGAAGAUAAUGACUGUACCGGGAGAAUAAGCCCCGGCUAACUCCGUGCCAGCAGCCGCGGUAAUACGGAGGGGGCUAGCGUUGUUCGGAAUUACUGGGCGUAAAGCGCACGUAGGCGGUUUGGUAAGUUAGAGGUGAAAGCCUGGGGCUCAACCCCAGAAUUGCCUUUAAGACUGCAUCACUUGAACGUCGGAGAGGUGAGUGGAAUUCCGAGUGUAGAGGUGAAAUUCGUAGAUAUUCGGAAGAACACCAGUGGCGAAGGCGGCUCACUGGACGACUGUUGACGCUGAGGUGCGAAAGCGUGGGGAGCAAACAGGAUUAGAAACCCUAGUAGUCC